UACGUAGGGGGCAAGCGUUGUCCGGAAUCAUUGGGCGUAAAGAGCUCGUAGGCGGCUCAGUAAGUCGGGUGUGAAACCCUCAGGCUCAACCUGGGGACGCCACCCGAUACUGCUGUGGCUAGAGUCCAGUAGGGGAGUGUGGAAUUCCCGGUGUAGCGGUGAAAUGCGCAGAUAUCAGGAGGAACACCGAUGGCGAAGGCAGUUCUCUGGGACGGUACUGACGCUGAGACGCGAAAGCGUGGGGAGCGAACAGG
rnacentral:rRNA from 1 species